UACGUAGGGCGCAAGCGUUGUCCGGAAUUAUUGGGCGUAAAGAGCUCGUAGGCGGCCUGUUGCGUCCGCUGUGAAAUCCCGGGGCUCAACCCCGGGCGUGCAGUGGAUACGGGCUGGCUGGAGGCAGGCAGGGGAGAACGGAAUUCCUGGUGUAGCGGUGAAAUGCGCAGAUAUCAGGAGGAACACCGGUGGUGUAGACGGCUUUCUGGACCGUAACUGACGCUGAGACACGAAAGCGUGGGUAGCAAACAGG
rnacentral:rRNA from 1 species